CGUUUCUCCAGGAAUGCUAUUAGGAAUUUUGCACGAUCCCCCCGGGUGUUAUUCAGGAAUUCCCCCUCCAUUCAUUCCUCUAGGAGAUCCUCCAAAAAAUUCUGAAGAUUCCGUUCCCAGGAGGGAAUUCCAUCUAGUAUUCCUAAGUCCGUCUCCUAGGUCCCAAUUCCUGUGGAAAUUACUCGACAAGGUCUACCACUUCGCAGAGAUAAAUACGCAAAACUCCAAGAAAUUCCAAAAUUAAUGAAUUCUGCCAAGAACCGAAUUCCUCCGGUGGUUUUACGUGAAUUUUCACAAUUUUGAUUUGUUUUUUUUAUUACGUUCGAAAUGGAUCGGCAAAAUAGAACAACCGGUGCAUGCGCGUGCAGUUUGGUCUAUUUUUACUGGUCUAAUAAAUUUUGACAGGUCCAUUUCUGAGAUAAAUUUGGACCAAAACAUAGACCACCGGUGAAGUUGCCCUUAAAGACUACACUUGGCACAGUUUAAGUGGUAUACAUUUUUGGUAUAAAAAACUAAACUAAGCUGGAUUUCCACAAAACUUUUUUUAUCAGUGUAUUUUAGCGACCGCAGAUGUUCGCAAAAACAAAAAUGUCGGUGAAGACGACUUGACUCGUGAAAUUUGUUUAAUUAAUUUGUCUAUUGUCUAUUCGAUUAACUAGCAUUACAAAAAUUACAAAAGUGGACUGCUUUCCAUCAGAAAUAGCGAAUCAAUCGAAUUGAGAAUUGCUAGGAACUGUUUGGCGGAAAAGCUCGAAAACACCGGGUGUCGGCACCUGCAAAACGGAAACAGCGUUAGGGAGUUCUACUAUAAUGCAGGGAACACGGUCCAGAAAGCAGGAACAUGAGAAGAAUCCAUCAUUUCCGAUCUGGAUGCUGUUGAAUAUUUGCAGGAUAAUUAAGAACGAGCGGCUCGGAAGUUCCAAGAAUGGCAGAUAACGCAGAAUCAAAAUUUUAGUUAUCUGAAAUAAGGCAUUGGUCUUAAUAUUAAGUGCGAACUACUGAUUUAAUUUCCAUGUGUUUUAACGAUAAUAAAAUAAAAACGGGGUGUUUGAUUUUUUUA